GAUGAGCGCUAGCGGUGCGCCUAAUACAUGCAAGUCGAGCGAGGCUUCGAGCCGAGCGGCGAACGGCUGAGUAACACGUUGGUACGUGCCCUCUACUCAGGGAUAACUCCGUGAAAGCGGAGCUAAUACCGGAUGGUCCCGUAAGGGUAAAGAUUUUUCGGUAGAGGAGCGGCCUGCGGCCUAUCAGCUUGUUGGUGAGGUAAUAGCUCACCAAGGCUAUGACGGGUAUCUGGUGUGAGAGCAUGACCAGACAGAAUGGGACUGAGACACGGCCCAU
rnacentral:rRNA from 1 species